rnacentral:rRNA from 1 species
UGGGGAAUAUUGGACAAUGGGCGCAAGCCUGAUCCAGCCAUGCCGCGUGUGUGAAGAAGGCUCUAGGGUUGUAAAGCACUUUCAGUAGGGAGGAAGGCCAGAGGCUUAAUAAGCCUUUGGAUUGACGUUACCUACAGAAGCAGCACCGGCUAACUCCGUG